rnacentral:rRNA from 1 species
AUUGAACGCUGGCGGCAAGCCUAACACAUGCAAGUCGAACGAGUGGCGGAAGGGUGAGUAAUGUCUGGGAAACUGCCUGAUGGAGGGGGAUAACUACUGGAAACGGUAGCUAAUACCGCAUACCAUCAGAUGUGCCCAGAUGGGAUUAGCUAGUGGGUGGGGUAAAGGAUCACCAAGGCGACGAGCCCUAGCUGGUCUGAGAGGAUGACCAGCCACACGGGAACUGAGACACGGUCCAGACUCCUACGGGAGGCAGCAGUGGGGAAUAUGGCACAAUGGGCGCAAGCCUGAUGCAGCCAGGCCGCGGGUAUGAAGAAGGCCUUCGGGUUGUAAAGUACUUUCAGCGGGGAGGCGUUACCCGCAGAAGAAGCACCGGCUAACUCCGUGCCAGCAGCCGCGGUAAUUC